rnacentral:rRNA from 1 species
UACGGGGGGGGCAAGCGUUGUUCGGAAUUACUGGGCGUAAAGGGCUCGUAGGCGGCCAACUAAGUCAGACGUGAAAUCCCUCGGCUUAACCGGGGAACUGCGUCUGAUACUGGAUGGCUUGAGUUUGGGAGAGGGAUGCGGAAUUCCAGGUGUAGCGGUGAAAUGCGUAGAUAUCUGGAGGAACACCGGUGGCGAAGGCGGCGUUCUGGACUGUAACUGACACUGAGGGACGAAAGCCAGGGGAGCAAACGGG